GGGUUGUGAGGUUAAGCGACUAAGCGUACACGGUGGAUGCCCUGGCAGUCAGAGGCGAUGAAGGACGUGCUAAUCUGCGAUAAGCGUCGGUAAGGUGAUAUGAACCGUUAUAACCGGCGAUUUCCGAAUGGGGAAACCCAGUGUGAUUCGUCACACUAUCAUUAACUGAAUCCAUAGGUUAAUGAGGCGAACCGGGGGAACUGAAACAUCUAAGUACCCCGAGGAAAAGAAAUCAACCGAGAUUCCCCCAGUAGCGGCGAGCGAACGGGGAGCAGCCCAGAGCCUGAAUCAGUAUGUGUGUUAGUGGAAGCGUCUGGAAAGGCGCGCGAUACAGGGUGACAGCCCCGUACACAAAAAUGCACAUGCUGUGAGCUCGAUGAGUAGGGCGGGACACGUGGUAUCCUGUCUGAAUAUGGGGGGACCAUCCUCCAAGGCUAAAUACUCCUGACUGACCGAUAGUGAACCAGUACCGUGAGGGAAAGGCGAAAAGAACCCCGGCGAGGGGAGUGAAAAAGAACCUGAAACCGUGUACGUACAAGCAGUGGGAGCACAGAGCAAUCUGUGUGACUGCGUACCUUUUGUAUAAUGGGUCAGCGACUUAUAUUCUGUAGCAAGGUUAACCGAAUAGGGGAGCCGAAGGGAAACCGAGUCUUAACUGGGCGUUAAGUUGCAGGGUAUAGACCCGAAACCCGGUGAUCUAGCCAUGGGCAGGUUGAAGGUUGGGUAACACUAACUGGAGGACCGAACCGACUAAUGUUGAAAAAUUAGCGGAUGACUUGUGGCUGGGGGUGAAAGGCCAAUCAAACCGGGAGAUAGCUGGUUCUCCCCGAAAGCUAUUUAGGUAGCGCCUCGUGAAUUCAUCUCCGGGGGUAGAGCACUGUUUCGGCAAGGGGGUCAUCCCGACUUACCAACCCGAUGCAAACUGCGAAUACCGGAGAAUGUUAUCACGGGAGACACACGGCGGGUGCUAACGUCCGUCGUGAAGAGGGAAACAACCCAGACCGCCAGCUAAGGUCCCAAAGUCAUGGUUAAGUGGGAAACGAUGUGGGAAGGCCCAGACAGCCAGGAUGUUGGCUUAGAAGCAGCCAUCAUUUAAAGAAAGCGUAAUAGCUCACUGGUCGAGUCGGCCUGCGCGGAAGAUGUAACGGGGCUAAACCAUGCACCGAAGCUGCGGCAGCGACGCUUAUGCGUUGUUGGGUAGGGGAGCGUUCUGUAAGCCUGUGAAGGUGUGCUGUGAGGCAUGCUGGAGGUAUCAGAAGUGCGAAUG
rnacentral:rRNA from 1 species